rnacentral:tRNA from 1 species
CAGCUGUAGUUCAACGGUUAGAAUGCCAGCCUUCCAAGCUGGAUAUGAGGGUUCGAUUCCCUUCAGCUG